UAUCCCCUGCGGUGUUCGACCAGGCCAUAAGCGAAGCUUGAACCAACAAAUUGGGGUAACCCAGGUCGCGAACCUAGGCAGCACCGGUGUGCGAGUCCCAUGCGGACUUGCCUGAAGGUGCUGGGAACGCGGCCGCCUUGAACCUCCGGUUCAAGAUCCUGGGCCUGACGGCAUCCGCGGGGGACCC
rnacentral:other from 1 species